UCGAAAUAUUUUUUGAAAGAGGUAAUUGUUGUAUAUCUGCUUUUCUUCUAAAAUAUUUCACAUAUAUCUGGUGGCUACUGUUUUAUGUAUGGAGAAGGUAAGGCAUUGAGAUUAACUUUCUCAUACUUACAAAAUGGGCUGUGUGUGGUGCUGAAAAUAAGACCGGUGUCCUGACUCCCAGUUUGUUUUCUGUGUAUUAGACCAGACUGCUUACUUAAAGUUUUAUUGUGCUAAAAAUCUGUUUAUAAGUUUGAGCUCCAUUUUUUUCUGUCCAUUAUUACAACAUAGAGAAGCACAUUCAUAUCCCCAGAGAAAUUUAGUGAUAUGCAGCAACUUUGUUUCACUCUUGACAUUACGUGUACAUUCUGUUAACAUUUUUUAUCUUAUGAUUGAAUGUUUCAGGUUUUCCUCCUCCACCAGGCGCUCCACCUCCAUCUCUUAUACCAACAAUAGAAAGUGGACAUUCCUCUGGUUAUGAUAGUCGUUCUGCACGUGCAUUUCCAUAUGGCAAUGUUGCCUUCCCCCAUCUUCCUGGUUCUGCUCCUUCAUGGCCUAGUCUUGUGGACACCAGCAAGCAGUGGGACUAUUAUGCCAGAAGAGAGAAAGACCGAGAUAGAGAGAGAGACAGAGACAGAGAGCGAGACCGUGAUCGGGACAGAGAAAGAGAACGCACCAGAGAGAGAGAGAGGGAGCGUGAUCACAGUCCUACACCAAGUGUUUUCAAC
rnacentral:sRNA from 1 species